rnacentral:rRNA from 1 species
GGGGGGGGGGGGGGGGGGGGCGGGGGGGGGGGGGGGGGGCGGGGGGGGGGGGGGGGGGCGCGGAUGUGAAGGGCGGCGGACGGGUGAGUAACGCGUGGGGAAUCUGCCGGUGAGCGGGGGACAACAUUUGGAAACGAAUGCUAAUACCGCAUAAUAACUUUAAACAUAAGUUUCAAGUGUGCAAGAUGCAAUUGCAUCACUCAAAGAGGAUCCCGCGUUGUAUUAGCUAGUUGGUGAGGUAAAGGCUCACCAAGGCGAUGAUACAUAGCCGACCUGAGAGGGUGAUCGGCCACAUUGGGACUGAGACACGGCCCAAACUCCUACGGGAGGCAGCAGUAGGGAAUCUUCGGCAAUGGACGAAAGUCUGACCGAGCAACGCCGCGUGAGUGAAGAAGGUUUUCGGAUCGUAAAACUCUGUUGGUAGAGAAGAACGUUGGUGAGAGUGGAAAGCUCAUCAAGUGACGGUAACUACCCAGGAAGGGACGGCUAACUACGUG